AUUGACAAUAACUAUGCUUUUCUCUUUUUUCAAGAACCAGUGGGGAUGUUGUGAUGACCCAGACUCCUCUCCCUGAGCCUGUCACACCUGGACAGUCAGCCUCCAUCUCCUGCAAGUCCAGUCAGAGACUGGACCUAUUUGAACUGGUUUGUGCAGAAGCCAGGCCAGGCUCCACAGGGCCUAAUAUAUAAGGUUUCCAAACGGUACACUGGGGUCCCAGACAUGUUCCGUGGCAGUGGGUAAGUGACAGAUUUCACACUGAGAAUCAGCAGGGUGGAGCCUGAG
rnacentral:lncRNA from 1 species